AGAAAAGUAAGCUAAAAUAAGCUAAUGGGUUCAUACCCCAUUUAUAGAGUUUACCUCUCUUCUCUA
rnacentral:tRNA from 1 species